AGUUAGCUCAGGGGCUCUUCAAGUAUUUGACUUAUGACCUAAGUAGCUGGGCAGGCUGCUCGCCCUGGGAGGGGCAGUCCCUGCAGGGUCAGCAGGGCCCCAGAUGUCGAAGCGUCAGAGUACAGAAAUCAAAGAUGUUUGGUGCAGUGUGUGUGUCUGCUGGUGUGACAGGAAGACAGACCAGCAGCAAGGGAGCCUUCUGCAGAAUUCCACAUUAAACAGGAUGAAGAAUAGGUUGUUAGCAGACUGAGGUACUUGGGGCAACAUUUCGUACACAACAGGAGGGAGAAACGACUCCAGGUUGUCUUGUGGUAGAGGAGAUUUUGCCUUGCAAUUUUACAUACUUAUGCUACGUGGAAGGCUGGGUGGCGUGACUUCAGAAAAAUGUUUCCUCAGGAAAGAGACACACAGAGAGAGAGAGAAAGAGAGAAAGAGAGAACCCACCUACCUGUUUUGCAAAAGUCUCAUGAAUCAUCCCUUCCUGUGGUCCUGCUCCCUGAGAUCCUUUCACCGCUCACAGUGGGCUACUUCUAAGAGCGUGCCUGGCACAGGGUCACUGAGAGCAUAGUCUUAAUAAAACAAUGAUGGAUGCUUGUCUCUCUCACUGGGUGCCAUGCACUUUGAUCAGAAGCUUUAAGAAUGUUUUCCUCCACUGUCUAGUCACAGCCGUAUUAAAUUACACAAGGCAUGGGAAGAGGCAUAAUCUGUUGAUGAUAAAUCAGAAUUAAUGAGAGUUUAACAAGCCUGCUAAAUACUAAGUCAAUGUAAAAAAUCAAUUGUAAGCCCAUCUAUCAGAAAAACACUAUUAGCAAGCAAAAUUUACAUUUUUACUGCUUAACAUAGCAUCCCAAAUAUCAAGUACCUAGCAACAAAUCUAACGAAAGAUAUGCAAGACUUAUAGAGAAAACAGCAACAGCAACAACUUUGUUUAGAUACAUUAGCGAAGAUCUCAUUACAUGGAGACAUACACUAUGCUCAUGGACUGGAAGACUCCAUAUGGAAGAUGCCAAUUCACAUCUCAGAAUCUCAGCAGGUGUUGCAAAGAACCUGAAAAUUUGUUUUAAAAAUUCAUGUCAAAAUGCAAAGGUCCUACAAUUGCCAAAGAAAAAUAGGGAGGGAGGACCACCUGAUAUCAGCGGUGAUUAUAAAACAAUAAUAAAUGUGAUACCUUGCCUUAAGUCUGGGGAUAGACAAAUAGACGAGGGGCGCAGGUUGGAGAAUCCAGAAACUGACCCAUGAAUACAUUGACACUUGAUAUAUGACAGAAAUGGCCCCCAAAGCCAUGGGUGUCUGGGCAUAUAGUAUCCAUACAGAAAAAA
ensembl:lncRNA LINC00929 long intergenic non-protein coding RNA 929